rnacentral:rRNA from 1 species
UACAGAGGUCCCGAGCGUUGUUCGGAUUCAUUGGGCGUAAAGGGUGCGUAGGCGGUCUGCUAAGUUUGAUGUGAAAUCCCGGGGCUCAACCCUGGAAUGGCAUUGAAUACUGGCGGACUAGAGUACCGGAGAGGAGACUGGAAUUUACGGUGUAGCAGUGAAAUGCGUAGAGAUCGUAAGGAAGACCAGUGGCGAAGGCGAGUUUCUGGACGGUAACUGACGCUGAGGCACGAAGGCCAGGGGAGCAAACGGG